rnacentral:misc_RNA from 1 species
UCUCCGUUGGUGAACCAGCGGGGGGAUCAUUACCGAGUUUUCAACUUCCAAACCCCUGUGAACAUACCGUUUGUUGCCUCGGCGGUGCCUGCUUCGGCAGCCCGCCAGAGGACCCACACCCUUGACUUUCUACAGUAUCUUCUGAGUAAAUGAUUAAAUAAAUCAAAACUUUCAGCAACGGAUCUCUUGGUUCUG